AUGCGUAGGUGGCGAGCGUUGUCCGGAAUUAUUGGGCGUAAAGCGCGCGCAGGCGGGAAAGUAAGUCUACUCUAAAGGUGCGGGGCUCAACCCCGUGAUGGGGUGGAAACUGCUUUUCUUGAGUGCCGGAGAGGAAAGCGGAAUUCCCAGUGUAGCGAUGAAAUGCGUAGAUAUUGGGAGGAACACCAGUGGCGAAGGCGGCUUUCUGGACGGUGUCUGACGCUGAGGCGCGAAAGCCAGGGGAGC
rnacentral:rRNA from 1 species